UGUGUCCUGGGGCAGCCAGACCGGGGAACCCCGGGACCCCCCAAGCCCACUAAGAUAUGGGCCAUGGGCCUGGCCGGACCCUUUCAUGCUCAAGCCUUCAGGAGGCCCCAGCAGGUGCGGGCGCUUCUCCGGGAUCUGCCCGUGGCCCCACGCACAGAGCUGACGGCCCCCGGGGCUCCGGCCUAGUCAGGGUCAGAGGGUGACAGCCCCCAUGAUGAGAUGUCACGUCCCCAGCACGAUUCAUGGGAUGCCCCCGCCCUCCUCUAGGUAUGGGUACAUCGCAGAUGCCUGGGGUAACAACGAUGUGGUCCUGCAGUGCUGGAAACUGGCCAUCUCCUUCAUGAUGGAAAUAUGGUUGAAUUAUUAUGGGGACGACUUUCAUCAGUUCCCAGAAUUUCCCUCCCUUAUAAAACUCCUCCAAAUACUAAGACAGCACAUGCCAGGCACAGAUGCGCAUCUCCGGGCCCUGCGUCACCUGAGGCAAUUCAGACGCCUCCAUGCAGCGGAGCGAGAGGCUGGGGGUGAGGAGGACUGGGGGUGGCCGAGCUGGGGACGGGGGGGGCCCGCGGAUGCAGCCUCCGUGCAGCUGGGCCGGGAGCAGGGGUGGGCUCACACCCCACCCCACGGGCUGCAGCCUGGGGACACCUCCCAGGGCUCUUGCCCUCACACACGGGGAGGGGUGGGAAGAGUGGCCUUGAUUUGGGAGGGACGUGGACAGUCCGUCCUGGUGGUGAUACUUUGUCUUCUUGGAUCUACAGCUUUGGCCCGAGGAAAACACCCUGAACCCACUCUGCAGCGCACCCCAGCUCCGACCGUGGGGCCUGCUGCCCCGUGGGGCCUGGCUGCUGGGGCUGAGGGCUUGGCCUGCGAUGAGCCGCCUGCUGGGGAGGCAAAGCCCCUGCAGAUAGUGGUCACUGCUGCCCUGCAGGAGUCCCCUGCACCCCUGGGAGCCCUGGAGGAGGAGCAGGCACCCCCCCCUGCUCUCGAGGUCGUGGAUGUGCCCCAGCCACCUCCUAACUUGAUGGAGCAACUGGCCUCGGGGAUGGAGCAACCUGUUGAACCACCCGAGGAGCCCGCCCCAGCUCCAACUGUGGAGCCUGGGGAAGGUUCCGGGUCUGAAGGGAUAGUGGCUGCUGGAGAUGAGGACUUGGUCAAGGCAGAGAUGCUGGCUCCUGAGGUGAAGGUGGUGCACGUGCUGGUCGAACCUAUGUUUCCCUGCCCCUAUGUGGAGGAGCCACCUGCUCCCAUGGCCACCCCGGAAGAGUAGGCCCUGGUGCCUGCAAUCGGGGUCCCCAGAGGGCCAGACCUGCAACCUGCCUCUGGAACAACCUGCUUCGAUCCGUUAGCAGCCCCCUGACCACCUCGGGGGCCCGCCCCAGCUCCCACCGCGGGGCUCGUGAUGGCUACAGCCCAACAGAGGCUUGCCCUCCCCUGUUAUUUCACUGUUUCUAUUUUUUGAGUUUUUCUUUAACCUGUAUAAUAGCUUAUAGAGUUUUAUUGCAAUAAAGGAUAAGUUAACUUCA
rnacentral:lncRNA from 12 species